rnacentral:rRNA from 1 species
UACGUAGGGGGCUAGCGUUGUCCGGAAUCAUUGGGCGUAAAGCGCGUGUAGGCGGUCCGGUAAGUCCGCUGUGAAAGUCGGGGGCUCAACCCUCGAAUGCCGGUGGAUACUGUCGGGCUAGAGUGCGGAAGAGGCGAGUGGAAUUCCUGGUGUAGCGGUGAAAUGCGCAGAUAUCAGGAGGAACACCAAUUGCGAAGGCAGCUCGCUGGGACGUUACUGACGCUGAGACGCGAAAGCGUAGGGAGCAAACAGG